rnacentral:misc_RNA from 1 species
GUGAAUCAUCAAAUUUUUGAACGCAAAUUGCACUCUCUUCGGAUAGUAUGCCUGUUUGAGUUUCAGCCUAAAAAAAAUCGACAUAUUCUCUGUUUCGCGGUGACAUUCGUCGGGAAUUGGGUCAUCUUAUACCUUUUUGUUUUAAUCGGCUUAAAAUUUUCUUUACGAUUCCACGAUCGUUUCUAAGCUUUUACUUCUUACACACAUUUAUGGUUUCGAU